rnacentral:rRNA from 1 species
UACGUAGGGUGCGAGCGUUGUCCGGAAUUAUUGGGCCUAAAGCAUCCGUAGCCGGUUCUACAAGUCUUCCGUUAAAUCCAGCUGCUUAACAGAUGGGCUGCGGAAGAUACUAUGGAGCUAGGAGGCGGGAGAGGCAAGCGGUACUCGAUGGGUAGGGGUAAAAUCCGUUGAUCCAUUGAAGACCACCAGUGGCGAAGGCGGCUUGCCAGAACGCGCUCGACGGUGAGGGAUGAAAGCUGGGGGAGCAAACCGG